UUCCUCAUCUCACAUUGAUAUCUUUGUCUCCCUCUUGCCUGGCUGCUCCUUCUCUCUAUUUCUCUAUCUUUCUAUCUCACCCACCCACCAAAGCCCACACACCUACACACUCUAGCUCUAGCUCCCUCUAUUUCUCACACUCCCUCAUCGGUAAACCAGCCAUCUACCCCCACCUUUGGUGGAUUUCACCGGAGAACCCCAUUAGAAACCCCAUACGCUCCAUUAUCUCAAACUUUAAAGGUUUUGAGAUUCUUGGUGAUGGACCUAAUGACGAGAUUGGUUGAUUUUGUGAUGCUGGUUGAGGUAAAAUCGAUUAGCUUUCCGAGUGUUUGUGACGACGGAAUCAAAUCUAAGUCAGUGCUCUUUCACUUUGGAUGAUGCGUUCUUCCCAAUUGCCCAUAGGGGGAAGAGGUUCAUUAAUUGUGUGUAGGUGAGGCUGCUACCUAUGGGGUUGAGAGACCACAUGCAAGAGAGGUCCUAUUUGACGCGCUCUCUUUGCUGUCCAUGGAGGGAGAGAAAAACCUUGAGGGUAUGAGUGAGGUUGCUGUCCAUGGGGCCAAGAGUCUGCAUACCAGAGAGGACAAUAUCAUGCCAGUUGUGAAUGGAUGGAUCCCCUGACCGGUCUAUGUGGUAAUGUGGUAUAUUUGUGGUAAAUUACCGUAUGUUAGAUUUUAUAGCUUUGGAAUUAUAUUAUUAGUGCUCAUAGAUUAUUGUAUAUAGUUUCAUGGUAUUAUUUUGAGAAACUUUGUGUUUCAUCAUUUAAUCAUUCUUGUUACAUUAUUAUAAAAAAAAUGAUCUUGUAGUAUUUAGUUAGCAAUUUCCCAAACUAAAACAUGUUUUGCAAACUGUUUAUAACAUGAAAUUUGCAUUUCCCCCACUCCCAUUAAUUAUGCUACUUACUGUGCUUUAGCUCAUCCCACUCUCCAACAGUUUUUCAGAUAAAUUUGCUAUACCUCAGGCAUGGAGCUUGAUUUAUUGGUGUUGAUUGGAGCAUUAUGUUAAGUGAGAGAUUUAUGCUAUGAUUGGUUGGUGACUCAAUCUUGUAAAGUUUAACGAGAUCAUAAUUAAUUCUAUUGGAGGUUGGAUACUUGAGGUUUGUUAGCCUUAGGCUUUGUAGGCAUAACUUCAAUGUUGAGGUUGUGUAUUCUAGAAGGGAUUGUGGUUUUGUGUUAUCCAUUUGAAGCUUUGAUACAUAUUCAUGCAUUAUUUGGAGGCACAUGACUCGAGUUAUUGUUUGUAAUUGUGUUAUAGAGCUCUGACUUGUAAUAUGAAAAUUUUAGUAUGGUUAUUUAUUUUUAUCAUGUAUCGAGGAGAGGAAAAAAAAAAAAAAAAAACUC